rnacentral:rRNA from 1 species
AUUGAACGCUAGCGGGAUGCUUUACACAUGCAAGUCGAACGAGUGGCGGACGGGUGAGUAAUUUAUCGGCACGUGCAUAGUAGCGGGGGAUAACUAAUCGAAAGAGUGGCUACUACCGCAUAAUAUAGGAGCGGCCGAUAUCGGAUUAGCUAGUUGGGGGGGUAAAGGCUAACCAAGGCGACGAUCCGUAGCUGGUUUGAGAGGACGACCAGCAACACUGGGACUGAGACACGGCCCAGACGCCUACGGGAGGCAGCAGUGGGGAAUAUUGGACAAUGGGGGAAAGCCUGAUCCAGCCAUCCCGCGUGUAUGAGAAGGCCUUCGGGUUGUAAAGUACUUUUGGUAGAGAAGCGGUAUCUACAGAAUAAGCACCGGCUAACUACGUGCCAGCAGCCGCGGUAAUUC